AUACAGAGGGUGCGAGCGUUAAUCGGAAUUACUGGGCGUAAAGCGCGCGUAGGCGGCUGAUUAAGUCAGAUGUGAAAUCCCAGGGCUCAACCUUGGAACUGCAUCUGAUACUGGUCAGCUUGAGUUUAGGAGAGGGUAGUAGAAUUUCAGGUGUAGCGGUGAAAUGCAUAGAUAUCUGAAGGAAUACCAGUGGCGAAGGCGGCUUCCUGGCCUAAAACUGACGCUGAGGUGCGAAAGCGUGGGUAGCAAACGGGAUUAGAUACCCCAGUAGUCC
rnacentral:rRNA from 1 species